rnacentral:rRNA from 1 species
UUGUGCUUGCUUGUCUUGCGCUCUCACUGCUCUGACGGAUGCUUUUAUUAGACCAAACCGCUGAGGACUUGAGGGUUCGCUCUCUAGUUCGACUCGUAUAAUGGUGACUCUGGAUAACCUUGACGAGCGCACGUACUCCUCUUCUGAGCGAGACGGCGCUGCCACUUUCGAGUGUCUGCCUUAUCAGCUAUCAACCGUUCGUUAUGCGCGACCGAUGGCUUUGACGGGUAACGGGGAAUCAGGGUUCGAUUCCGGAGAGGCAGCCUGAGAGACGGCUACCACGUCCAAGGACGGCAGCAGGCACGCAAAUUACCCAAUCCCAGCAAAUGGGGGAGGUAGUGACGAAAUCUAACGAUGCGGGCGCCCUUUCUGGGGCCCCGCAAUCGGAAUGGGCACUUUCUAAACAACCUGUUGAGAACCUACUGAAGGGCAAGUCUGGUGCCAGCAGCCGCGGUAAUUCCAGCUUCAGCAGCAUCUAUUAAAGUUGCUGCGGUUAAAAGGCUCGCAGUUGAAUGUCUGUAUCGAGCGCAGGUCAGGUGGACGUUGGGGCGUGGAAGUACGGGCAGUUGGAUGUUCGGAGGGCAUUCGUGCUCGAUGGCUCCUUCGGCUUUUCCACACACCCCCGUCCGUGACAAGCCUCCUCGCUCGGGUACAUAACGGGAAUCGGUCAAACGGAGUGUGGUCGGGAGUUGAGGUGCGUGGUUUCGGCUGCGUGCUCCUUCUUUCGGCUGCGUUAAGCUCCAUCGGUUUCACGGUCACCUUGAGUAAAUCAGAGUGCUCAAAGCAGUCGUAGGGGCCUUGCGCCCUGUGAACAGUCUUGACGGACUGACUUGGUUUUGCAUGGCAUGUCGGAAGACGACGUCGUGUGCUGGCUCAGAGGAUAAAUCAGUGGUACAAGCCAGCCUCGACGUAAUGAUUAAAAGGGACGGUCGAGGGCAUUGGUAUUGCGAGGCGAGAGGUGAAAUUCUGUGACCCCGCAAGACCUCCUGAAGCGAAAGCGUCUGCCAAGGACGUUUUCAUUAAUCAUGAACGAAAGUUAGAGGAUCGAAGGCGAUCAGAUACCGCCCUAGUUCUAACCCUAAACGAUGCCAACCAUCAAUCCGCGCGUAGCACCCUUCUUAACGGGCUCGGCGGGCAGCUCCCCACUCACGGGAAACCAGAGCCUCUGGGUUCCGGGGGGAGUCUGGUUGCAAAGCUGAAACUUAAAGGAAUUGACGGAAAGGCACCACCAGGCGUGGAGCCUGCGGCUUAAUUUGACUCAACACGGGCCAUCUCACCAGGCCAGCACUCUUGUACGAUUGACAGAUUGAGAGCUCUUUCUCGAUUCAGUGGAUGGUGGUGCAUGGCCGUUCUUAGUUGGUGGAGUGAUCUGUCUGGUUAAUUCCGAUAACGAACGAGACUCUCCCCUGCUAACUAGUCGGUUGGAUCUUGAUCAGCGGGUUGCGUGCCGAGUAACUCUCGCUGCGCGUGUGGUGCGUCGCUGGCUCUCGGGCUGGUUGCGUGUCCGCGCGUGUGGCGUUGGAUGCCUUGGAUCACACUGCACCCCAAGUCCGCCGCUUAUGCUAUAACUCUUCUUAGAGGGAUUCACGGCACUGAAGCCGUAAGAGACUGAGAGCAAUAACAGGUCUGUGAUGCCCUUAGAUGCUCUGGGCCGCACGCGCGCUACAAUGCCGGGCACAGCAGGUGUUUCUCCUGCUCCGACAGGAGCGGGUAACCCUCUGAAAGCCAGUGUUCUUGCAAGUGCUUCCUCCCUCGUGGAGUUGCACAGAGGCGUGCUUGGGCCUGGGACUUGCAAUUCUU